GUCAGCUCGCGCAUGGGAACCCAGCACUGCCUCUUAGGACCCGUAUGCGGACGUUCUCGCGGGUUUCUUCCAGAUUUGGACAGCAUAAAGGGAUGCAGAUUCCUGGAGUACAACUUGCCAGCUGCCUCGAAGUGUUGCCCCUGGGCCAUGCCACCAACUGACAAUGGAUUGAAACUUUUAAAAACUCUUAACUCUAGGUGUGGACAACGGGAAGGCCCAACCUAGUGGUAGCCUGGAUAGAAUAUAAAGGAUGUAAAGAUGGCUGCUUGCUGCUUCCUGCCUGCCAUGGACUGUUUCUCCUUUGUCACACCACCCUGCCUUGGAGCACCCUUCUAUAGACUGAAACCUCUAUAAACUGUAGCUAAGAUAAAUCUUUUCUCCUUUAACUUGUGAGUGUUGAGUGUUUGUUCCAGCAAUGAGAAACCUAUGACAGUCAUCAUUCUAUCUUUUAACUAUUUAAAAAUAUAUAUUGAAAGCACUCAACAAAUAUGUAUUUGUUUUGAGUUAAUGUUAUUCACUCAAUAAAUAUCAGUUUAUAAAACACUGUUGUAAAUAAAAAAAGACAAGUAAAAUUCAGUUCAUUAGUACCAUAUUCAAGAGGGAAAAUAGGCACUAAAUCUUAUAUUACAGUAAGAGUUUAAAGGAAAAAUUUUAAGUUUGUAAAAAGAAAAAAGGAUGCAGGCACAUUUAUAUUCAGGGAGUUACUUUAUAAUUAGUAGAGAAUCAAUGCGUUUAAAAGUUUCGAGUAUUUCCAUUUCUUAAAAAGAAAAAAAUCUUGACUUUAAAUAGAUAAAUAGGUGACUACAAACUUUUUCUUUUCUUUUUUCUUUUUUUGGUACUGGAAAUCAAAUUCAGGCCCUCAUGCUUGGCAGGAAUGCUCUGUGCCACUGAACCAUACACCCAGCCCCACUGUAAACUUUUUCAUAAUAAUUUUCUCAGCAAAACCUUCCUUUAUAAGUAAUAUAACAGUAAAACCAUCCCAGAAGAAAAAGAAGUUUGCAAUUUUGAGUAAUGAGACCCAGAUUAAUAAACCUUGCUUUAUUAUAGCUCUAAAGGUCUGAUAAUCUGUCUUUAAAUCUCAUGAUUUGGGUAUUAGCAAUCAGAUUACUAGAAAAACAUUUUUCCCCUGUGAUACUAGGUCUCAAGCCAAGGGCUUUCCCACUGAGCUACAUCCACAGACAUUCUUUGUUUUUUGUUUUAAAAUAGAGUCUCACUAAGUUACUAAGUUGGCUAGCCUGGGCUCUAAUUCACUACCUUCCUAUCUUGGCAUCCCAGAGUGCUGGGAUUGCAGGUAUGCACCACCACACCAGCCUAUAACGAUAGUUUAUUUGUUUGUUUGGGUACCAGGAAUCAAACUAAGGACCCUGUGCUUGGUAAGCAGGCAUUGUGCCACUGAGCUACAUCCCUGGCCUAUAACAACAUUUUUAAAAAAGACAUUUUAGAAUUUGUUCCUCCCUGCACACCUAAACUAAAAUUUCCAAAAUUU